rnacentral:lncRNA from 1 species
GUCAUAAACCUUGUGUUUAAAUUUCAUUGAUUUCUAUUUACUUAUACUAAAGUUAUUGUGCGAAAACCAAGAAUAAUGCUUAUUUGGGCCCUUUUUUGGCCCUUAAUUCCUAAACUGUUGGAACCAAAACUCCCAAAAUCAAUCCCAACCGUCCUUUUGUGGUCAUAAACCUUGUGUCAAAAUUUCAUAGAUUUCUAUUCACUUAAACUAAAGUUAUAGUGCGAAAACCAAGAAAAUGCUUAUUUGGGCCCUUUUCGGCCCCUAAUUCCUAAAAUGUUGGGACCAAAACUCCCAAAAUCAAUCCCAACCUUCCUUUUGUGGUCAUAAACCUUGUGUUAAAAUUUCAUUGAUUUCUAUUCACUUUUACUAAAGUUAGAGUGCGAAAACUAAAAGUAUUUUGACGACGACGACGACGACGCCAACGUGAUAGCAAUAUACGACCAAAAAAUUAAAAUUUUUGCGGUCGUAUAAAAACU